rnacentral:rRNA from 1 species
CGGACGGGUGAGUAAUGUCUGGGAAACUGCCUGAUGGAGGGGGAUAACUACUGGAAACGGUAGCUAAUACCGCAUAACGUCGCAAGACCAAAGAGGGGGACCUUCGGGCCUCUUGCCAUCGGAUGUGCCCAGAUGGGAUUAGCUAGUAGGUGGGGUAACGGCUCACCUAGGCGACGAUCCCUGGCUGGUCUGAGAGGAUGGCCAGCCACACUGGAACUGAGACACGGUCCAG